GGUGGCUCACAACCAUCCCUAACGAGAUCUGACUCCCUCUCCUGGUGUGUCUGAAGACAGCUACAGUGUACUUAUGUAUAAUACAUAAAUAAAUCUUUUUUAAAAAAAAGAGGAGGAAGACAAAGUAUUGUCUAACACAGUUUACUUAAGGACCAGUGACCACUACUUUCCUGCAAAACAAAAACCAACAAAAAAAAAAAAACCUGGAAAGAAAUUGUUGUGCUGUGGACAAGAAAUCUCAGCAUACACAGAGAGACUAGAUGCUUUUACUAAUGAUGAUCCAAGCAGCGCCAAGUCCCAGUGCUAAAGCGGCAGACAAACACAAACAGAGAGAACUUGGAAGAGGCCUCCCCAUUGUGGACAAGAGAAGCACGGGAACAGACUGGACGCAGAUUCCUCACUGUGUGUUCUUCAGAUGGCCUCAGCCAUGGCCACUGAACCUCUAGUCGCUUCUAUCUUGGGACAGAAUUUUAUUUUGCUCUCUUCUAGGAGUGUUGUGAUAAAGGCAGCAACGAAGUAUCCUAGAAAUAGCUGGCAGGGGAAGGUCCUAUGAGGACAGCAUUAACUGGUGGCACAGUGGACAACACGUGAUACACACGUGCGAGCUGUAUCAGCCAUCACGAUGACACGGGGGUCACUUCAUUUCCUUUUCUUUCUCUUCAUCCAUCAGAGCAAAUUCCACAGUCAAGAUGUUUACACUUGAGGUGACCAUUUUGGUUUCCCUGCACCCAGGGAAGGACGUUACAGUUCCUCCACUCAGGAACGCGCCCCUGAAUUUACUGUGGAACAGCAGGCUCUUGUAGAAGUCAUUACAGGGCAAACAGGGAACUGGGUCACUGCAGUGACCCUCCAUGGGGCCAUCUUGCACACGUGGAUCUUGAUGAGCAGUGCCUUUAAGCUGUGCUCAACUUCCUCAACCCUAGGCUCGGGGUAGCUCGGCAGAGCCUUGUGGUUUUCUUCUGGAUCAAACAGUCCUUGCUGAUUCGUGAGUGGUGGCUGCCGAGUGGACUGGACUGCAGCUGCUGAUUCAUGUUGGUGUUUUGUUAGAAGACUGGACUGCUGACAACGAAGAUUGGAAUCGCCCCAGAGAACUAUUUCUAAGCAGAUCCUGGUUGACAUACUUUGGUUAGCAUCAAUAGUGAGAAGCAAAACUACAGAAGCCCCAAAGCAAGACAUAGGCAUGUCCACGUGAGCAGGCGUAUGGAAAUCAUACAGCAAGUGUAUGGAAAUCAGAAGACAACUUUCUGGGCUUGAUCCUCCAUCACGUGGUUCCAGGGUUCAAACCCAAGGCAUCAGACUUGGCAGCUAACGCCUUUUCCACUGAGUCAACUUGCUAGCUACAAACUUGGAUUUUGUUUGUUUGUUUGAGACACAGUCUCACCAUGAAGCCUCAGUUGGCUUGGCACUCACUUUGUAGACCAGGUUGGCCUCCAAUUCAGAGAGCCAGCUGCAUCUGUCUCCAGGACGCAGGGGCUGAAGACAUAUGUCACCACACCUGUCAAAAACAAUACAAAACACAGCAGUCCGAUGCCGGGCUAACUUUAAUUCCAGCACCUGAGAAGCAAAGGCAGCUGGAGCUCCGAGUUCAAGACCAGCCUGGUCUACAGCCAGGGCUACACAGAGAAACCUGUCUUGGAAAACCCAAGCCAACAACAACAUGUUUUAAUAAUACUUUUUCCAAUGAUGUUUAGUCUAUGAAUAAGUGUUUGAUUAUUAUAUGACUCGGCUAAGAAGAUGAGUGCUUCUCCUCCAAGAGAAUACAGCUCAGAUCUGGGCAUUGGCGGGCAUCUUCAUUUAGCUUACUCAGUAAGAUAGAAAGAACAUUAGAACUCACGCAUUGAUCAGUGACAACAGUACUGUACGGAAGCAUAUGGGAGCUUACCAACAGCAGCCCAGUUUCUUGUGCUUCUUACCGCAGUGGCUGCUCUAGCUGCCCUUCCACUCCGAUCCGCUUCAUUAACAUUGUCUCUCCCAUAUGCAGCUUGCUUCCACGAGUUAAGCCUGAAGCUGAGGGUGUAGUUCAGCUGGUAGAGUGCUUGCGAACACACACAAAACCCUGACUUUGAUCCCCAGGACUGCACAAACCACAACAACGGGCUGGAGCCAUACCUAUACUCCCAGCCCCUGUGGAAACAGGGAGCUCAGAAGGCCAAAGUCAUAGCCGGCUACAGGGGAAGUCACAAGACCUUGUCCGCAAAUAAAUAAAGCUUUAUUGGAUCACAGCCAUGUCCAUCCUCUCUGUGUGGUCUGCGGUCACUUUUGUAGUAAGAGAUGAAUAACUGUUACAGAGACAAUGUGUUAGACAAAUCUACAAUAUUUCCUAGUUGACUACUUUGUUUGGGACACUGCCUCCCUGUGUAUCCCAGGCUGAUCUGGAACUAUGUAGCCCAGGCUGGCUUGGAACUCAGGCCUGCUUCUGCCUCUUGAGUGCUGAGAUUACAGGAAUUUAUCACUACAACCUGUUAGUAGUUGGCUUUUUUAUAUAUAUAUAUAAAAA
rnacentral:lncRNA from 1 species